GACGAACGCUGGCGGCGUGCCUAAUACAUGCAAGUCGAACGCAGUGGGGACGGGUGAGUAACACGUGGGUAACCUCCCAUCAGAGGGGAUAACACUUGGAAACAGGUGCUAAACCGAUACUGAUGGAUGGACCCGCGGUGCAUUAGCUAGUUGGUGAGGUAACGGCUCACCAAGGCCACGAUGAAUAGCCGACCGGGUAGGGUGGUCGACAACACUGGAACUGAGAGACGGCCAAGACUCGUACGGGAGGCAGAAGUAGGGAAUCUAGGGAAAUGGACGAAAGUCGGACCUAGAAACGCCGCGUGAGGGAAGAAGGUUUUCGGAGCGUAAAACUCUGUUGUUAGAGAAACGGUAGAAAACAAGAAAGCCACGGCUAACUACGUGCCAGCAGCCGCGGUAAUAC
rnacentral:rRNA from 1 species